GACAAUUGCUUGUGAAAGAGAAAUAGCCCAUUUUCUCUGUGUAAAUCAAGUCUGCUUCAAAGCCCGAUUGCUUUCUGACCUCUAAAUAUUUUUAGUUUCAACCUGACUCCUCUUGUUUGAUUCCGAUUAGAAAUAGCUAUAACUAUUAUCAACUCCAGAAUUUUUUUGAUCCUAGGAAACUGAAAAUCAGAGAAAAAUGGCUACGGCAUUCAGCGGCGAUGAGACUGCUCCUUUCUUUGGCUUCCUUGGCGCUGCUGCUGCACUUGUUUUCUCCUGCAUGGGAGCUGCGUAUGGAACCGCGAAGAGCGGGGUUGGUGUGGCGUCCAUGGGUGUGAUGAGACCCGAGCUGGUGAUGAAAUCGAUUGUGCCCGUGGUUAUGGCUGGAGUUUUGGGUAUAUACGGUUUAAUUAUUGCUGUGAUUAUCAGUACUGGAAUUAAUCCCAAGGCCAAGUCUUAUUAUCUCUUCGAUGGAUACGCUCACCUCUCUUCUGGUCUCGCUUGUGGCCUUGCUGGUCUCUCUGCUGGUAUGGCAAUUGGCAUCGUAGGGGAUGCAGGUGUUAGAGCUAAUGCACAACAGCCGAAGCUUUUU
rnacentral:misc_RNA from 1 species